AUGACUUUACAAGGAAGAUACUUGCUAUGGAUGCUAAAAACUACCAUGCUUGGUCCCAUAGGCAGGUAUGCAGUAUCUCCUUUUGAUUGGGUUCUUCAAGCAUUGGGUGGAUGGGAGAGUGAACUGCAGUACUGCAACCAGCUUCUUGAGGAAGAUGUCUUCCAUAACUCAGCUUGGAAUCAGAGAUACCUUGUGGUAACACGAUCACCAAUUCUUAGGGGCCUUGCGGCAAUGCGCGACUCAGAAGUAGAUUACACAGUUGAGGCCAUUAUGGUGAACCCUCAGAAUGAAAGCCCCUGGAGAUACCUCAGAGGUUUAUAUAAGGAUGAUAACAAUUUGCUGGUGGCUGAUAAUCGCAUUUCUGAUGCUUGCCACAAAGUCCUGAAUAAGGAUUGGACAUGCGUAUUUGCUUUGAGCUUCCUGCUUGAUCUUCUUCGCAUGGGUUUGCAGCCUUCAAAUGAUCUUAAAGGAACCAUCGAAGCAAUGGAGAACUCUGAUCCUGAAACGGGACAUGCUGAUAUUGCAGUAGUUGUCUGCUCAGUCCUGCAGAAAUGUGAUCCCCUGCGGAUAAACUACUGGUCAUGGUACCAGACCACUCUUUCUUCUUAG
rnacentral:rRNA from 1 species